UGAACGCUGGCGGCGUGCCUAAUACAUGCAAGUCGAGCGAACAGACGAGGAGCUUGCUCCUCUGACGUUAGCGGCGGACGGGUGAGUAACACGUGGAUAACCUACCUAUAAGACUGGGAUAACUUCGGGAAACCGGAGCUAAUACCGGAUAAUAUAUUGAACCGCAUGGUUCACUAGUGAAAGACGGUUUUGCUGUCACUUAUAGAUGGAUCCGCGCCGCAUUAGCUAGUUGGUAAGGUAACGGCUUACCAAGGCAACGAUGCGUAGCCGACCUGAGAGGGUGAUCGGCCACACUGGAACUGAGACACGGUCCAGACUCCUACGGGAGGCAGCAGUAGGGAAUCUUCCGCAAUGGGCGAAAGCCUGACGGAGCAACGCCGCGUGAGUGAUGAAGGUCUUCGGAUCGUAAAACUCUGUUAUUAGGGAAGAACAAAUGUGUAAGUAACUAUGCACGUCUUGACGGUACCCAAUCAGAAAGCCACGGCUAACUACGUG
rnacentral:rRNA from 1 species